rnacentral:lncRNA from 1 species
UCUGAAGUUGGAUGCUCCCAAAUUCAAUACGGGAGAUGAUCCAUUUGAGUACAUCAGAACGGUUAAGAUGAUAACCGAUGAGUUAGGAGCUGAUGAUAGCAGAGCCAUUGAGAUGGCGGGGUUUACACUAAAAUGCAAGAAAGCUCGAGAGUGGUUCAAGAAUUAUGUGGACCCCAGGUUGGACAGCAUGUCAUGGGGAG